rnacentral:rRNA from 1 species
CGCGUGUAUGAAGAAGGCCUUAGGGUUGUAAAGUACUUUCAGUCGUGAAGAAGGUGUUAGGGUUAAUAACCUUAGCAAUUGACGUUAGCGACAUAAGAAGCACCGGCUAACUCCGUGCCAGCAGCCGCGGUAAUACGGAGGGUGCGAGCGUUAAUCGGAAUUACUGGGCGUAAAGGGCACGCAGGCGGUUAGUUAAGUUGGAUGUGAAAUCCCUGGGCUUAACCUAGGAAUGGCAUUCAAAACUGGUUAGCUAGAGUCUUGUAGAGGAGGGUAGAAUUCCAUGUGUAGCGGUGAAAUGCGUAGAGAUGUGGAGGAAUACCGGUGGCGAAGGCGGCUCUCUGGACAAAGACUGACGCUCAUGUGCGAAAGCGUGGGGAGCAAACAGGAUUAGAUACCUUGGUAGUCCACGCUGUAAACGAUGUCGAUUUGGAGGUUGUGGUCAUGAAUUGUAGCCUUCGGAGCUAACGCGUUAAAUUGACCGCCUGGGGAGUACGGCCGCAAGGUUAAAACUCAAAUGAAUUGACGGGGGCCCGCACAAGCGGUGGAGCAUGUGGUUUAAUUCGAUGCAACGCGAAGAACCUUACCUACUCUUGACCUCCAGCGUAU